AAGCUAAUCUCUUAAAGCCAUUCUCAGUUCGGACUGUAGGCUGCAACUCGCCUACACGAAGUCGGAAUCGCUAGUAAUCGCGGAUCAGCACGCCGCGGUGAAUACGUUCCCGGGCCUUGUACACACCGCCCGUCACACCAUGAGAGUUUGUAACACCCGAAGCCGGUGGCGUAACCCUUUUAGGGAGCGAGCCGUCUAAGGUGGGACAAAUGAUUAGGGUGAAGUCGUAACAAGGUAGCCGUAGGAGAACCUGCGGCUGGAUCACCUCCUUUCU
rnacentral:rRNA from 1 species